UCCUCCCUCAAACCUCGUGUUUGGUGUUGGGUCGGGUUGGUCCUCUGCGACCAACUGGCCUCAAAGACAAUGACGGCGUCCGUGGGACCCUCGGUGCAACGAGCUUCUUCGUGAGCACGCACCGAGUUGCAAGGACCUUCCGGGCCGGUCUGACCUGUUACUACUUCUCA
rnacentral:misc_RNA from 1 species